rnacentral:rRNA from 1 species
AUUAGAGUUUGAUCCUGGCUCAGGAUGAACGCUGGCGGUAUGCUUAACACAUGCAAGUCGAACGGUCACUUCGGUGAUAGUGGCGGACGGGUGAGUAACGCGUGAGAAUCUGUCUUCAGGUCGGGGACAACAGUUAGAAAUGACUGCUAAUACCGGAUAUGCCUUUCGGGGUGAAAGAUUUAUUGCCUGAAAAAGAGCUCGCGUCAGAUUAGCUAGUAGGUGGUGUAAGAGACUACCUAGGCUCCGAUCUGUAGCUGGUCUGAGAGGACGAUCAGCCACACUGGAACUGAGACACGGUCCAGACUCCUACGGGAGGCAGCAGUGGGGAAUUUUCCGCAAUGGGCGAAAGCCUGACGGAGCAAUACCGCGUGAGGGACGAAGGCUCUUGGGUCGUAAACCUCUUUUCUCAAGGAAGAAUUUGACGGUACUUGAGGAAUAAGCAUCGGCUAACUCUGUGCCAGCAGCCGCGGUAAUACAGAGGAUGCAAGCGUUAUCCGGAAUGAUUGGGCGUAAAGCGUCCGCAGGUGGUUUUAUAAGUCUGCUGUUAAAGCGUGUGGCUCAACCACAUACAGGCAGUGGAAACUAUAAGACUAGAGUAUGUUAGGGGUAGAGGGAAUUCCCAGUGUAGCGGUGAAAUGCGUAGAGAUUGGGAAGAACACCGGUGGCGAAAGCGCUCUGCUAGGACAAUACUGACACUGAGGGACGAAAGCUAGGGGAGCGAAUGGGAUUAGAUACCCCAGUAGUCCUAGCCGUAAACGAUGGAUACUAGGCGUUGCCCGUAUCGACCCGGGCAUUGUCGUAGCUAACGCGUUAAGUAUCCCGCCUGGGGAGUACGCACGCAAGUGUGAAACUCAAAGGAAUUGACGGGGGCCCGCACAAGCGGUGGAGUAUGUGGUUUAAUUCGAUGCAACGCGAAGAACCUUACCAGGACUUGACAUGUCGCGAACCUUCUUGAAAGAGAGGGGUGCCUUCGGGAGCGCGAACACAGGUGGUGCAUGGCUGUCGUCAGCUCGUGUCGUGAGAUGUUGGGUUAAGUCCCGCAACGAGCGCAACCCUCGUUUUUAGUUGCCAUCAUUGAGUUGGGCACUCUAGAGAGACUGCCGGUGACAAACCGGAGGAAGGUGGGGAUGACGUCAAGUCAGCAUGCCCCUUACGUCCUGGGCUACACACGUACUACAAUGCUACGAACAAAGGGCAGCUAGUUAGCAAUAACAUGCAAAUCUCAGAAAUCGUAGCUCAGUUCAGAUUGAAGGCUGCAACUCGCCUUCAUGAAGUCGGAAUCGCUAGUAAUUGCAGGUCAGCAUACUGCAGUGAAUUCGUUCCCGGGCCUUGUACACACCGCCCGUCACACCAUGGAAGCUGGUCACGCCCGAAGUAGUUAUCCUAACUGUAAAGAGGGAGACUCCGAAGGUAGGGCUGGUGACUGGGGUGAAGUCGUAACAAGGUAACCAAU